CCUACGGGAGGCAGCAGUGGGGGAUAUUGCACAAUGGGGGGAACCCUGAUGCAGCGACGCCGCGUGGGUGAAGAAGCGCCUCGGCGCGUAAAGCCCUGUCAGCAGGGAAGCAAAUGACGGUACCUGUAGAAGAAGCCCCGGCUAACUACGUGCCAGCAGCAGCGGUAAUACGAAGGGGGCAAGCGUUAUCCGGAUUUACUGGGUGUAAAGGGGGCGCAGGCGGCUAUGCAAGCCAGGAGUGAAAGCCCGGGGCCCAACACCGGGACUGCUCUUGAAACUGCGUGGCUGGAGUGCAGGAGAGGCAGGCGGAAUUCCUGGUGUAGCGGUGAAAUGCGUAGAUAUCAGGAGGAACACCGGUGGCGAAGGCGGCCUACUGGACUGCAACUGACGUUGAGGCACGAAAGCGUGGGGAGCGAACAGGAUUAGAUACCCGUGUAGUC
rnacentral:rRNA from 1 species